CCUACGGGAGGCAGCAGUGGGGAAUAUUGCACAAUGGGGGAAACCCUGAUGCAGCGACGCCGCGUGAGUGAAGAAGUAAUUCGUUAUGGAAAGCUCUAUCAGCAGGGAAGAAAAUGACGGUACCUGAGUAAGAAGCCCCGGCUAACUACGUUCCAGCAGCCGCGGUAAUACGUAGGGGGCAAGCGUUAUCCGGAUGUACUGGGUGUAAAGGGAGCGUAGACGGCAGUGCAAGUCUGGAGUGAAAGGCGGGGGCUCAACCCUCGGACUGCAAUGGAAACUGUACGGCUGGAGUGCAGGAGAGGUAAGUGGAAUUCCUAGUGUAGCGGUGAAAUGCGUAGAUAUUAGGAGGAACACCAGUGGCGAAGGCGGCUUACUAGACUGUAACUGACGUUGAGGCUCGAAAGCGUGGGGAGCAAACAGGAUUAGAUACCCGAGUAGUC
rnacentral:rRNA from 1 species